rnacentral:piRNA from 1 species
UUGGUAAGUGACUAAAUAAAAGCUG